AUCACGUCUUCUCAGGUAAUCCUGUUGGUGUCAAACAGGCUCUGCUUUUAUUUUCUAAAGGCGAUACAAGACAUGAGGGAGGGAGACAGACCAACAUCCACACUUGACGUAAAGGCAGAGAAACGGAAACACCCUCUGCUUCGUCGAACUCAGUGAUCCAGAUAGUUAAAGUGGGGACAGGUGUGCUGGAGUCAGAGCAGAGCCACACCAGCUGCACCUCAUCUCAGUAAUGAAGCCCUCUUCAAAUACCAAACCCUGCCACUUCCACUCUGCCAGAUCGUAGCCUCUGCUUCAUUCCAUCUGCCCUGUCUCCCGCCCCUGUUUCAAGGCUCUCGUCUUGUCAGCCUUGCUUCCCUGCCCUGGAUCCCUGCUCUUCCCAGCUUCCAGCCCAAGCCUCAGCCCCAGGUUCCCAGUUUCCAGCCCAAGCUUCCCCAAGUCCGCAUUCCCUUUCCCCAGCCUUUACAAUGUUUGGGUUCACCUACUCUGUCCCAUGUAACAUUAUGGUUAUUUCCCAUAAUAGAAAAACAUGUGUGCAGUGCAGUGAGACUAAUAUACAAUUCUUUUGAAUUGGAAUCCUAACAGUCUGGCUUAGUGCUGCUGCAGGUGAAUAAUUUAUAGAUGCUGGAAUUUACACGGAUGUUAUAAAAUGGUGCAUAAAAGUCUUUUAUUUGACAAAGCUGUUUAAAUUUGAUUGGAAAGUCUUCUCGUCAACUGUUUGAGUACCAAGAAUAGCGCUGCUAAUUUAAUAAUUGAUUAGCCAUGUUCGUCUUGGUGUCACCGCUCAAUAUGUUGAGGACCUCCAUCCACACACACACACACACACACACGAUUCUCUUUCCUCUCCUUUCAGAAUCAGUUCCAAUGAGUGACAAUGUUAAUCCACUUUUCUUCACACAUGCACCCCCCUUCUCCCUCACUUCAUCGUCUUUUAUCCUCCUUUUCACUUCACAAAAAUCUCUAUUGAACCGAUCUCCUAUUCAUGUAGAAAGAGUAUAAUUUCAGUAUCGCUGCUUAAACCCUGUAAUUUAAGUUGUAAACCUAAUGUUCAGCAUUGAGGAUUUUUAAUA